GUCAUAAGUAAAUCGGCUGGGCAUGUCCCACACGCGGCUCUAACGGCUGGGCUGUUACAGAGGUGACCAAACUGCAGUGCUGACCUGACCAGCGUUUUCAGCAGAGCUGAGGACAAUACAUCACUAAACAUAUGACCCAAGUGCCUCUGUGAUGAAGAAGAGAGAUGUGACUCUAAGAUGCCUCACUGAGUAUAUGUGAAAGAGUGGACAGGACCUUAUCUCUGAGUACUAUGGAACUGCAGAGUGCAGUGUGCAUGAGGACCUGAAAAUGCGGUUUGAGGAUCUAGCCUAUGCUCGCCAUGAACCAGAUGCGGUGGGCAUCAUCAUCGAGGGAAUCCAGUGCUUACAGAUCUUGACAAUCUGGCCAGAAUCUCCAGUAUCCAUCCAAUCUUUUGAUGAAGACUUUUUGUGGGACUCAAUGCACUGCGCCCAAAACCAACUGCCAAGUUAAUAAGCCUCAACAACAAGUUUCUCGCAAAGAUUGUUGGCCUUGCAGUGAAAACAGAGUUUUGUUGUUUCUGUUGAGGAAUGUUAUACAUUUUCUUGGCCUGAUGUGUGAUUUUUCAGACUGUUGUACCUGAAGGCCUUUCAAGGAUUGUUUGUGGGUCUCCGCACUGGGUACUCAACUAACCUCCAUGGUCAUUAGUUUCACUAACAAGUUUCAAGCGUGGACAGUGAAACAUGACAGUCACCCUGGCUGUCACAGAUAUUUUUUCUGUUAAUGAACAUUUUUCUGUUAUGAUCAAGUGUUUUAAUAGUCAAUGAAAUACACUGUCACAAUAUUGUAUCAAGCUGCAGUUUGUAAGCUGAGGUCACAAGUUGUAGUAUGUAAAAUGUUUUA